rnacentral:rRNA from 1 species
CCCUUAGACGUUCUGGGCCGCACGCGCGCUACACUGACCAGUGCAACAAGCAUCCGUCCUUGGCCGACAGGCUCGGGCAAUCUUUGAACGCUGGUCGUGAUGGGGAUAGACUUUUGCAAUUUUUGGUCUUCAACGAGGAAUUCCUAGUAAACGCAAGUCAUCAACUUGCAUUGAUUACGUCCCUGCCCUUUGUACACACCGCCCGUCGCACCUACCGAUUGAAUGGUCCGGUGAAGCCUCCGGAUUGGCGCGCACCUCGGUGCCGCCGAGAAGUUGGCUAAACCUUACCAUUUAGAGGAAGGUGAAGUCGUANCC